UGCCUCAGCCGAGGUUUGAAAGCGGGUCUUUUGCAUUGCGGGCGGCCGCGCUAACCAUUCCGCCAAUGGGGC